rnacentral:ncRNA from 1 species
UAACUGGCUUGAGGCAGCCAAGCGUUCAUAGCGACGUUGCUUUUUGAUCCUUCGAUGUCGGCUCUUCCUAUAAUACUGAAGCAGAAUUCAGUAAGCAUUGGAUUGUUCGCCCACUAAUAAGAACGUGAACUGGGUUUAGACUCGUGAGACAGGUU